rnacentral:rRNA from 1 species
AUUGAACGCUGGCGGCAGGCCUAACACAUGCAAGUCGAGCGGAUGAAGGGAGCUUGCUCCUGGAUUCAGCGGCGGACGGGUGAGUAAUGCCUAGGAAUCUGCCUGGUAGUGGGGGAUAACGUCCGGAAACGGGCGCUAAUACCGCAUACGUCCUGAGGGAGAAAGUGGGGGAGCUUCGGACCUCACGCUAUCAGAUGAGCCUAGGUCGGAUUAGCUAGUUGGUGGGGUAAAUGCCUACCAAGGCGACGAUCCGUAACUGGUCUGAGAGGAUGAUCAGUCACACUAGAACUGAGACACGGUCCAGACUCCUACGAGAGGGAGCAGUGGGGUAUAUUGGACAAUGGGCGGAAGCCUUAUCCAGUCAUGCCGAGUGUGUUAAGAAGGUCUUCGGAUUGUAAAGAACUUUAAGUUGGGAGGAAGGGCAGUAAGUUAAUACCUUGCUGGUUUGACGUUACCAACAGAAUAAGCACCGGCUAACUUCGUG